rnacentral:rRNA from 1 species
GACGAACGCUGGCGGCGUGCCUAACACAUGCAAGUCGAACGGUAAGGCCUUGCUUUUGUGGGGUGCUCGAGUGGCGAACGGGUGAGUAACACGUGAGUAACCUGCCCUUUACUUUGGGAUAACUUCAGGAAACUGGGGCUAAUAUCGGAUAUGAGCUCCUUCUGCACGGUGGGGGUUGUAAAGUUUCGCCGGUUGGUGAUGGACGCGUGGCCUAUCAUCUUGUUGGCGAGGUAGUGGCUUACCAAGGCUACGACGGGUAGCUGGACUGCGAGUGUGACAGGCCACAUACGGAUAGAGAUGCGACCAAGACGGCUACGGGAGGAAGGAGUGAAAGAUAUUGCACAAAGGGCGGAAGGAUGAAGCAACAACGCCGCGUGCGAAAUGACGGCCUUCAGGUAGUAAAGCGCGUGCGCCUGUGACGAAGCGUGAGUGACGGUAAUGAGUAAAGAAGCAACGGCUAACUACGUG